AGAGGCUGCUCUGCUGGUGGGGGUGGGGUCACUUCUCUCAGCCCCAGACUGUCAGCUCUCAGGAUUAUCCACCUCGGCUCCUGGUUGCAGCAACUGCUGUGGCAGUAUGUGGAGCGAGCACCUCUGGCUCCCAACUUCUCCUGACUGAGCUGGCCACUCGCUUCCUUCUCCUCUGUGCCUCAGGCGCUUGCUGAGACUUCUCUGUUGGACUCUAGUGCUCUCUCCUGGAUGUUCUAUUCGAGCUCUGCCGCACUAAGCUCUCUACAUGGCCGAGGCACCAGACCAGAAUGCGCCCUUUCGACAGGCAGAGAGAGCCAAAGGGGAAAAGAGCUGAGUCAAGGCUGCCAAGUUCCUGCUUCCAGCCCUACCAGCCGGUCACUCGCGCCUUGCAAUGAGGAAACCAGGAGUCCUAUCUAGAGCCUUUCCAUAGUUGUGGGAAAGAAGAUGGGUAAAGUUAUUGUUAAUCUACAGAGGAAG
rnacentral:lncRNA from 1 species